rnacentral:lncRNA from 1 species
UGAAAUUUGUGGUCAACAUUUACAUAUUAAGAGAUUCUACACAAAAAUCUGGAUUUCUGGAUUCUCAUGAAAAACUUGAUGUGGCCACACUGGGCCUACUUUUCCACAUGGCAGCAAUUGGCUGGAGCUGAAGAGCAGCUGGCUCUUUGAGACGGGACGCUGGCUGAAGCUCGGGCUUUGGAAUGAGACAGAAUCUGGAUUCACCACUAACUGCCUGUGUAAUCUUGAAUAAGGUUUUUAACCCCUCUCAGCCUCUAUGUCUAGAGCUGGAGAGUAGAGAGAGAAUGCCACCCAGCUGAUAGAAUUGCUGCGGCGAUGAGCAAGAGAGCAAGUCCUGCCUCUCAUGUAAACAGUCCUCUGGCAGGUCUGCCCUGCCAGUCCUCCCA